UCAAGGAAGGGAGUUUCCCCACCAACAUCACUUCCCUUGAAAUCGGGGAUUUCGUCGGUCAACUUCCAGUUCCGCCUCCAUCUCCAUUAGAGUGGGGUUUGCACAAACUCUCUUCUCUUACAACACUCAGACUUGGUGGCGGAGGUUGGCCGUGGGGAGAUACGGUGUCCUUUCCAGAAGAAGGGAUGUUCCUGCCCACCUCUCUCAUCUCUUUGAGAAUCAACAACUUCCCAAAUCUGGAAAGACUCUCUUAUGAGGAGUUUCAAAACCUCACCUCUCUUGAAACACUUGAAAUCUGUUGUUGCCCUAGGCUCGCGUCCUUUCCAAAGGAAGGGUUGCCCCCCUCUCUUUUGCAUCUACUGAUCUAUAGGUGCCCUGAGCUUGCGACCUUUCCAGAAUAAGGAUUCCCUCCCUCGCUUUUGUCACUGGACAUCAGGGGAUGUAAUCCAAUACUGAAACAGAAGUGUGAAAAGGGGAAACAAUAUUGGCCCAUCAUCCAAUACAUUCCUCGAGUAGAUGUCGUAGUAUAAGCAGCCACCUGCAAGGGCUUUGUUGUUGUGGAAACAAACUUUAGGAUGUAUUCAUACUUACUGUCUAAGCUGCAUUUCAAGAUUUUGUGCCUCUUUUCAAGUAAGUUUUUGAGGAUGCUUGCAACUUUGCUGGAGAAUAUGGGGGUUUGUUAUGGAAAGAUUCCAGGUAGAUGGCAAAGAAGGCAGAAAUACUAGUGCACAUCUGAGAAUUCCCACGUGAUCAAAGGCAAUAGAAAGCACGGAAAAGGAAAGAAACAAGCAGAGAAGAGAGAAAUUGUACAUAGUUGCUUUUUGGCUGCUUAGCUUGGUGGGAUGGGAUUUUAAUAAAGCUCUUUGAGCUAAGCAAGGUUGGCAGUUGCUUACUAUCCAAAUUCAAAUUUUCUUGAAGCUAGUUUGAGGAGUAACCCAUUGACAUUGUUUAGAGGAGUAUUUAGAGUGCAAAGUCUUUUUUGGAGGUUGUACUGCACUGGCAUAUUGGGAAUGGAAGGUCUAUGAAGAUUUGGAAAAAUAUAUGGAUUCCAAGGCCUUACUCUUACAAAACUAUUUCUGUUGCAAAAUUCCUGCAUGCUGAUGCUAAGUUGGCAUAUCAUUUGGAGAUGGUUUUGUGAAGUAGAGAAACACAGGUCAGGUCAGAUGCUGGGAGUUUUGAAAGGGCAUUUUCAAAAAAGAUUUGGUUGCUGAAAAUUCUGAAUAAAGUGAAAAUCUUUGCACGGAAAACAUGUUCGAACAUCCUCCCUGUUCAAUCAAAGUUGAGGAGGAGUUUAGCCAACAGAUGGCUGUAUCGCCUUUGGGAUUAUUCUUUUUUCAUUUGCUGGAGUAUUUGGAACAAUCACAAUGAUUGGGUUUUUUGCUAGGUGUGUCUGUUUAGAUUUAAACAAAAAGUUUUCAAUGGCAACCCUUUGCCAUUGUUGCAUUGGUUCAGACCUCUCCGAACAGAAUUGAGUGUAGUGCUGCUUCAAUAUUGCGAAGAUCAUUGUAUCUUGGGAGAUUGAUGCCAUCAUACCGCAAGCACUUGUACGGCGGCGAAUCUAUCUCAAGGACAAAGUGUCAUACACUCAACUUGAUUAUCAACUUUGUUAAAUCUAUUUUCGGUACAUAAAUUCUGGCUUGUUGUCGUGGAAACAAACUUUUGGAUGUAUUCAUAAUCAUUGCCUACACUGCAUUGCAAGAUUUUGCGCGCUCUUCUCAAGAUAAUGGGGUUGACCGAAGACCAACAUCUUAUACACUGAAGAGAAAUCCGUGGUUACUUUGUCACUCCGGAAUUCUUUUAGCAAACUCCAAAACAUGACAUGGACACAACUAUGCCCUUGCAAGUGCAUGGAACUCUCUUGCUUGCAGCCUUGGUUACUUUGAAAAGUUAGCAGGAAGUUUUUGAGGAUGCUUGUCAGAGACACUCAUGAAGGGAUUUGAAUACUUGAAAAAGCAUACCUUUUUCCCUUAGAGGACGCAAAAUAUCAGAAAUGAAUGAGGAAGCAAAAAAAAAGGGAAAAAAGAAAAGAAGAAAAGGAGGAAGUAGAGAUUACCAAUUGGCACCCACGAGCUCAGGAAUUAUUGUGAACCUUGGUUUGUCAUGCUUCUCUACUAGGUUUGAGGUGAUCAAAUAUAUAAAAGAGUUUUCCAUUUCAAUUCUUUUCCCAAUAAAAUUUGGGUGCGUCUGUCUAUUUUGUGUCUUGUUGGACUAUUGGAGUAUGUUUUUUCACCUCUUACUUUGAACAAGUAAAUUGUAAGUUAUAAAAGACUUGUAUAAGUUCACACAAUGCUAUAAAUAAGUUAGCACAUAUUCUGGUAAUGUGCAAAGAAGAAUACACUAGUAUAAGUUCUGUCCUCUGUCUUUGGUUUUAUGCUCAUGAAUUAGCUUUGAUACUUCCUCUUUGUUUCUUUUUGUUUGUUUGUUUGUUUGUUUGUUUGUUUUCUCCAGUAGAUUCGUGUUGUGCUUCUUUACCUCACAUUCCUUCAGUAGGGUUGGUAUGUUAAGGUUAAUUGUUGGGGCAGUUGAAAGGCAGUAAGGAUAUUCAUGUUGGUUUACCUCCCUGGAUGUAUGAUCUACUCCUAGCUAAGUCUUUUUAGCUUUGCAGCUUUACUAUGGCAAACAAUAGCUUCUUCUCUCAAGCUAAGCUCCAGCUGGUUUUGGGGCUUCAUUAAGAAUUCAAUCAGCUUGCUCCUUUAUUUCUGAGACGUUCGGUUUUUUUGCUAUUCUACUAGUUGUUGUCCUUCGUAGUUCUUGUGAUUUUAAAGUUUUUAUUCAAAGCUCUAUUUUCCUGUUUUGUUUGUCAUGUUUAGGUGGUUAAACUCUUGUACUUGGUCUCUUUUAUCAAUGAAGUUCAUAUUGGAGAUAAGAUUAUAUUGUUAAAGAUAUAAUAAAUUUCCACUUCAUCAAAGGCAAUAGAUUUUGUCUGCAAUUUGUAAGAUGGUACUUGAAUGGGAAAAAAGAAAGAAAAAGAAAAGAAAGAAGUAUAGAUGAAAGAUAUUGUACAAAGUUGAGCUUUGGCUGUUUGGCUUUGGGCUUUUAAUAAAGCUCUAUUAGCUAUUGAAGGCCGGCAGUUGCUUAUUCAAACUUUCUUCAAGGUAACUUGAGUAGUAACCCAACGUUUAUUUGGAAUGCAAAGUCUUUUCUGGAGGCUGGGCUGCGUUGGCGUGUUGGGAAUGGAUUCCAAGGCCUUAUCUUACAAACCUAUUUCUGUUUUCAGAGUCCUCCAUGAUGCUGAUGCUAAGGAUUUCUCUCUUAUUUAUGAAACUCUGAUCAAAUAGUGCUUUUUGGAUUUUGAAGUUGAGUUGAUAUGUAAAAUCCCUCUUUGCCCAGGGCUUGCUCAUGACAUACUGGUUUGGCACUUCACUAAAAAUGGCCUUUUUUCUGUUAAGUUGGCAUAUAUCAUUUGGAGAUGGUUUUGCAAAGAAGAGAAACACGGAUCAUCUCAGAUGAUGGAAGAUUUGAAAGGGCAUUUUCAAUGAAGAUUUGGCAGCUAAAAAUUCCGAAUAAAGUGGAAAUCUUUGCAUGGAAAACGUGUUCGUAUAUCCUCCCUGUUCGAUCAAACUUGAUUGAUAAAAGGUGCAAGGAGUUUAGCCUACAGAUGAAUGUAUUGGCUUUGGGAUUAUUUUUUUUCACUGGUUGGAGUAUUUGGUACAAUCGCAAUGAUUGGGUUUUUAACAAGAAGAGUCAAUCAGCAGAGGAGGUGGCUAGGUAUGUGGCUGAUUACUUACAAGGUUAUACCGAUACACAUACACAGCUCAAGGUGGCUACUCCUGUUCAACGAAAAGAGUUCCCAGUUGGAGGCCCCAGGUGGAGGGCGUGUUUAAAAUCAAUUUUGAUGGUGCUCUUUUGAAGUGUUGGUGUGAUUGUUUACAAAGUGGAGGUAAUUGUAACAGUAAUAAGUUUGCCAGGGUUUUGGGUCUUCAUGAUGUUCAGAUUGAAGGGGAUUCCUUUAACUAUGAUGUUUGCACUACCAAAGGUUUUGUUGAGCACGCUGUACCAGCUCUGGGGGAAUGUGUUACGCUUCAUUUUAAGGCCAUUCAAUUCACUAAUAAUUCACAACCAAAGAACAUCGGGAGGAAAGAUGUCUCAGGUCAUAUUGAAGCCCUAUGCUCUCUGAUAUAAAGUUUUGCACUGGAGAUUUUGCCUCAGAAUUGUUGAGAUCUUUCAGUUAUUGGUGACAUUAUGGAGGAGAUUAAUGUACUUUGCAACAGCUUGAAUCCUUCAUGGUGUUCUUGGAAGGGAAAGAAGCAAACUGUUAGGCUAAUGCUUUAGCAUUUGAGGCUUACAACACAGUGGAUGAAUCUUUUUUAUUAGUAGCUCGCCUGAUAUUUCCUAUUCUUCUAGAGUGUUCCUAUUAUUAGCUCUGUUUGAUUUAUCCAAACAAAAAAAGGUUAUUUGUGCAAGGCGUCCAACACCAUUCAACUUGCACACACUUCAGCAGUCAACAUUCUGUGCGUUGUCGGCAUCUGAAGAUAAGUUUGAGCAACAUUAUGUAGUUGUCUUGGCAUUCACAGCUUUAUUACAAUUUCUUUCGCACUCCAAGUUGCAGAAUGUAAUGAGACAGUCGAUUUUUUCCUUGUAGAAACCACAACACUACUAUUAUAUUUCAUUGCUAGCUAGCUUAAUAGUAGUAAUAGCACUUGUCAAAAAUAAUUGGAGUUGUAGCGAUUUUAUAGUAUUAUAGCUGAAUCAACACAAUUUCUGUUUGAUCCACUUCUC